rnacentral:lncRNA from 1 species
GUUGGUUCUCCCAUUUCCAAACGCAUCAAAAUCAACAUUAGGCCAAUACACGCUUGAUAUAUCAGGCCCAUCAUAUACCAAUCUCAAGACAUUAUCAGUAUCAAAAAAAAAGUUGAAAUAUCCAGUGCCAUAAUUUCCUCUCCCCAGUAUGGAAAUCAACUUCUUACUUUUGGUAAAGCGUUGGUGAGGAAGAAGCGUAUCUGUGGGGAAAUCAAAGCUUUGCCAAACAACUUUACCAGAUGAAUUCUUAAGAACGAGAUUCCCAUUAUCCAAAAGCUCUGCCCUUUCAACGUAUGUGGUUCUGGUGUUGGCCUCCCACAUAAUGGAGCCAUCCACAUCAGUGAGUACGAAGGCACCAUCUCGAUGAAGAGGAAGUUUAGAACCCUUUCCAUUGACGGGUUUGUAUCGGUUAGCCAUCCAAGCAAUCGUUUUGUCCUUUGAGCUGGUGAACCAGAUUGAGAAGUAGUAAGCAUUUUCACUGACACCAUAAAAGCCACAGGUGAAGGUGUUGUCUGAAGAUGUUAACAUGUCCGUGUCAUCUUCCACUGACAGAGAAGACCCUGUCUGCAGAAAAUUCUUGGGAUUUCCUGAACUUGAGGGACAGAAGCAUAAAUAGAUGACAAAAACAAGAAAAAUGGUUGAACUCGAGGAUGUUAAGGUUUGGGAUCUCAUGGCUCUCGGAUUUUAGUUUCCCAACUUCUGAGGUUGCUGCGUUAAGAUUCCUAUGAAGCAUGGAUUUUAUAGUGUGACCGCCACAUUGCAUUAAAUGCAAGGAAAGAAUUAUUAAUAUUACAUUGCCUGAAACGAAAUGGAAAAUUCUGCCCUUGGUCCCUACUUCUGCGAGAAUGAAGGUUGAAUUGCACUCUUUAGUCUCGGUGUGGAAAAUCUUGGUCUCUGCCGUAUCAUGACCACCAUUCACCAACCAGUGCUGAACCUUGCGAGAUUGAAGGUUCACUUGUUCACACGGCACUUCUGUAAUAAUCAACUUAAUGGUAAUAUAUGUAUUUCCCGUUCAGAUAUUAGAAAUGAAUCUUCAAAACUUCGUGACCAAAAGAAAAUCAAUCUGAACCCAGAACUUAAACCAAAUAGUUCAUAUCGUCUACGCUCAUCGCUUAUCAUCCCUCGCGUCCCAAACUACAAAUGAAUUAUAUACUUCAAAUAAAAAGUCGCAGUUCAAUCAAUUGAACUCGAAUGAUAUGUACAUUUUCCGUUGUGGAUGCAAAAAGUCAAGGUUGUAAAAAAAAAAAAAAACAUUAGCAUGUAGUUCCUGCAUUUGUCCAUAAGAAUUUAGUUGAUAUUUAAUUCUUUUUUACUUACUUGGUUAACUUAUAUUCUAUCUAAUGGCGGAGUCAAAAACAAAUUUUUGACAAAAUUAAAUUAUAUAUUUUUACAAUAGUAAAAAUAAAAUUUCAUCUAUCUUUAUCAUUUUUAAAAUAUUAAAUCAAUUUUUUAUUAUUUUUGGGGGGCUAAAGUGUAAUUUUACCAUUACUAAUUUAAAAUUUUAUAAAUUAUAAAGAGCCUAAAUAGAAAUUUUCUAUUUUAGGGGAGUCGGGGGCCUUGCCAACCCCCCUUGGCUCCGCCACUAAUUCUAUCACUUAGGUUGGUAUCUCUGCACCGAUUAUGUUGGUGUGGCACUGAUAGCCAAUAUGAUGACACAUGACAAUUUCACAAUAUGCAACAUGAUAAAUACAAAUUUAAAAAUAAAAAAAUCUUAAAAAUAUAUAAAUUAAUAAAUAAAAGUAUAAUUUUUCACAUUAAGAACAAAUCUGGAUAAACAAUUGUCCAAAUACAUUUAAAUCUAGAAACCCAUUUGUCUAAAUUCAUUCCAGAUGUAUGUUAUUAACUUUUUUAUAAAAAAUCAGGUUAUUAUUAUUAUUUUGAAAUUAAAAAAUAUAUAAUUUAAAAAAAAUUAAAUAUAUAAAUAAUAAUUUAUAUUAAGAAUGAACCUAGACAAGUUGUUGUCUAUAUUCAAAUGUAUCGUGACAAUUAUUUAUCUAGAUUCAUUGUAGAUGCAAUUUUUAGUUUUUUUUUUAUAUAUUUAUAUAAUAUAUAUUUUAUAAUUUUUUAUUCUUUCAUACAUAUUUAUAAAAAUUUAAUUUUUAUUAAUUUAUAUAUUAUAAAUUUAUAUAUAUUUCAAAAUAUUAUAAUCUUUUUGUAUAUUUUAAUUAUAUAUGACUUUAAAUUUUAUAAAUUUAUAUUUUAUAUAUUUUAAAAAAUAAUAAUAGCCUAAAAACUUAUAUUUUAUAAAAGAAAUGUAAAUAUAUAUACUUACUAAAAAUACAUCUAGAAUCUUGAAACCCAUCAUUUGUCUAGAUUCAUUCUAGAUGUGAAAAAAUUAUAUUUUAUUUAUUAAUUUAUAUAUUUUAAAAUAUUUUAAAAUUUUUGAAGUUUAUUUUUGUCACGUUGCAUAUUAAGAGGAUGUCACAUGUCUUUACUGGUUUAGUUUUUAGUGUCACAUCGACAUAAAAUAACAAUGUUAGUGUGAAGGUAACAACUUGGGUGGCAGAAUAGAAGUUCACGUACCAAUUAGGUCCAAAAAAAAGUAUAGGUGAUAGAAAGGAAAAAUGUAUAGUUCCGAGUUCAAUUUAAUUUUUUAGGUGGAUGUUAGUGGUGCUUAUGGGUUGUGUAGGGCUAGGAUCGGGCUAGGUUUAAGUAUGAUAUUAAUACACUUUAUAUUUAUCCAAGCCCAACUCGACCCGAAAUGUGGGUCUAAAUUUUUUUCCAAAUCCGUACAUAUUUGUAAAUGGUCAACCCAAGCUUAUUUUAAGUCCAUCCAUAUUAUUUUUUGAUUUUUUUUUAAAAAAAAUAUGUAUAUUGUUUUAUUUAAUAAUUAAUAAUUUUGUACAUCUUUCAUUUAUUGUAAUUUUAUAAUGGACAUAUUAAUAUUUUUUAAUAUUUAUAGUAUAGUAUUAAAUAUUACUAUAGAGUUAAUUUUGUGUGUUAUAAAUUAUAUAAUAUAUAAAAAUAGCAUAAUAUAAUAUAUUUUAAACAUUGAAAAUGGGCCUAGUCGGGUUCUAGUCUUGAAUGUUAAAGCUCGAGCCCUAACCAUAUUUUAAACAAGCCUUUUUUUUUUUGUCCAAUCACUUUCACAUUUCGAGAUCUUAGGCGGGUAGCUCGGCCAUGAAUAAAACUAAUGAAUGCUUAUAGUAUUUACCAUGUUAGUGCUGGGUUGUUAAUUUAGUUGUAUGUUAAGUUCCAAUUAACUGGAAAAAAAUAAAAGAGUCAACAACUAAAAGAAAAAAGAAAAACUAAUUGGUUAUGCACUUCAAAAUUACUUAUAUUUAUGGAGUCCUGCUAAGAGAUUAAUCCAUUAUAGUUCAACAACACGAGAGAUGAAUUAAACUAAACUCACUGAACUCGUUAUAGACUCGACCUUAUACAUUUCUCUUAUGAAUGCUUAAACCAAACUAGUGAAACAGUUUGUUUAAAAAAAAGAACUUAUAAAUGUUGCUCACAAUGAAUAGAAUUGAGCUCUUUGUUCACACACUAAAAACAAGAGUCAAGCCUUUUAAGACUUUUGAACUGACCUAGUAUGAUUGCCCUAAACUGUUGAAGUUACGUCCCAAUUAAACUCGUAGUUAUAGUAUGAAAUAAAAGAAGUUUUCUUCACUUUUAACUUCUCCAUUUCUAAAAAGUGAAUCAUACUUGGAACUCUUCAAAUUAUCCUUGCUUGACUAAAUAUUUUCACCCAUUUUGAUCUUGAAAACUGCCGCUCAAUAUCCCUGCACAAAAUUAACCAUUUUAAUCUUAGGCAAAAUAUGCCAAGGCAUUGCAAUUGACAAUACUAACAUUCUCUCUCUUUUUCACUAAAAAAACUUUACAACAUUUUUUCCAAGUAAUCAAGCUUGAUAUCAAGACAACAAUGUAAGAAAUUCAAAUAUUUCUUAUAGAAUUCAUGUUUAAUUGAAAUGGUGACACGAGAAAGUGAUUUUAAUAUGAGUUUUUAUUAUGAAUUUGAUGUGUUCACGAAGUAGAAGAAGAGAAGAAAUGAUUAAAGUGCUGGAAACAAAGUGAAGGUGAUGACAAAAGUGAAGAAGGAAGAGAAUUAAAGCAAAAAUAGUAAGUACACCAAGAAAUUUACCUUACCAAAUUAGAAUUUAUGUAUGAAUUAUAUUUAAUGUUCUUCAGAUUUAAUCACACAUAUGCAUAGGAAAACGUUAAUAUAUAUUAUGAAAAUCUUGUGAUUAGUCAUUCCUCCCAACAAAUGACUCAUGAUCAUGUUCCAUUUUCACAAUGCAUACAAUGCUAAUUAGAGAAUUUUUUAUUUGAGUUAUAAUUUCACUAUUGUGAGUGAAACCAUGCCACUUAUAUGUCAUGUACCUCAACAUGCUUAAUGUCGAUCCACUACCAUCAUAGCACAUAAGUAUACGUGCAUAAUUAUUCACUUAUUAAUUUAAUUAAUUAAAAUAAAAUAAUCAUUUAAUACUAUCAUUUAAUUAUUUAAGUUUAAUAUAAAUUUUUAUUAUUUAUCUCUUAAUUAAUUUAAACUAUUUAAAGAAAAAUAAAUUUAGUGCAAUAUGCCAUGUUAUCAUUUUAACCCAAUAUUGACCCAUGAUAAAUUUGCUUAAUUUGGAAAUUUACUUCAUCUACACAUACAAGUAUUCAUUAAUGGUAAGAGAAUGUUUAUAAUUCAUUAUAACCUACACCCACACAUAUGUAUUUGAAUAAAUUAAUUAGUGACUUAAAUUUUCAAUAAUUAAUUGGGGACUCAUAUCGCAUAAAACAAGUUGUUCUUUUUAUUGAUUUAUUGUUACAGCUUAAGUACGCCUACCAUUCUCUGAUUUGAUUGUGGAUCUUAACUGCAUCUUCACAUUCUAGUAGAGUUUGAACUAUGGAAUCCAUUGUUGGUCUCUUACUUCUAUUUUCAUCCACACAAGAUAUUCCAAAUUCAACCAUUUUCUCCGCUUGAAUUCUGCUGAAAUGUCCAUUUAAUCUUUUGUCCACAAUAUCCUCAACCCAGGCCAUCUCCUCAACUUGCAUUUUUCUUUUCACUACCUUAAUGAAUCUUGUUAAUUCAGUUUCCUGCUCAUCGCCAUCCUCCACCACCCAGUGAGAGAGUCGAAUGCCCUUCACCAACUCCAAAAUCACGACCCCGUAGCUAUAGACAUCAACUUUUGCAGUGAUCGGAAGGUUUAAUGCCCAAUCAGGAGCCAUGUACCCUUUUGUUCCUCGGAUUCGAGACAUUUCCGAAUUAUUACGAUCCCUUUCAGACAGCUUUGCUAGUCCAAAAUCCGAAAUCUUGGGUUCAAAUUCACCAUCCAAGAGUAUGUUUUCAGGUUUCACGUCACAAUGAAUAACCCAUUCUAAGCACUCAUGGUGAAGGUAGGCCAAACCUUUUGCUGUCCCUAAGGCAACUUUAAACCUCUCAUUCCAUCCAAGAACGUUACCCGAAAAGAGAUGUUUGUCCAAAGACCGAUUUUCUACGUACUCAUAGACCAAAAGUCUAUGUUUGGGUUCUAAACAAAAUCCCCACAUUCUCACAAGGUUCAUGUGGUUGAUCUUUCCAAUUAUGCUCACUUCUGCCCAGAAAACUUCCUCAGUUAGAUGAGCAUCUCCCAAUUUCUUGACCGCCACCACCCUUUCAUCCGCCAACACACCCUUAAAUACAACCCCGGAAGCUCCUCUUCCCAGCUCUUCUUGGAAGUUCUUAGUUGCCUUCUUGAGCUCCAUAUAGCUGAACUUCCUGAAAUGAUUAGAUAAUACACGAUAUCCUUCUUCCACCAUAGCUGGAAUGCCACUUUUUCGAAAAAGAAACCACCAACCUGAUACGAAGAAAAGCAUUUCAAUUGCACCAAUAACAGAGGCAAAUGAGUAUAGAUAAACCCAUGUCACCCUUCUUGCUCUGGUUUCUAAUGUAGAAGAAGAGCCUAAGCCUAUCGUUACUGUGGUUUCACCUAACUUGCAUGUAUGAUUAGUGCCAUUGAGAACGAUGACUUCUGAUGUUUCUAUACUCAAAGGGAGCUUUAAAUACAAGGCACCUGGGAAAUUUGGAGACUCGUAGCCAUUGAAAAGUUCAACUUUAGUGAAACAAUUUCCGUCCCCUGUUAGCCUGUAGCUAAAUGCAUUACACUGGCAAUCUUCCAAGCAUUUCAUCUUGCAAGAUUCUAAUGUUAUGCCUGGACUGUAAGAGGAAUCGAAUCCAUAAAAGUCCACAUAUCGCAUCUUCACGAAUUUCACCUGCUGAGGGGACUUUGAAGAACAGAUUCGACUGAACCUAGGCUUGCAACCUUUGUUCCAAUUACUUGGAUCGGCCAUCUCAUAUCCAGGAGGGCAUGAACAUUUAGGUUCUGGUGUGUAAACACAGAUCCCAUUCCUCCCACAAAGUCCAUGCACCGAACAAAGUUGCCUAACUGCUUCCCAUCUGAUGGUCCAUAAUCCUGACGCGAUAUUCAAGCUAUAAAGCCUGAGGUUACCAUCGUAAUCCAUGGUCAGCCUCCUUCUGAUCCCAAAACCCGAGUCAGAACCAUUGAAAUUCAACCAAUCACUUGAUAAAAACCAUCCCAUGUCAUCUAACAUAGCAAUCCUAGUACUGUUAAAGUUGGUUCUCCCAUUUCCAAACGCAUCAAAAUCAACAUUAGGCCAAUACACGCUUGAUAUAUCAGGCCCAUCAUAUACCAAUCUCAAGACAUUAUCAGUAUCAAAAAAAAAGUUGAAAUAUCCAGUGCCAUAAUUUCCUCUCCCCAGUAUGGAAAUCAACUUCUUACUUUUGGUAAAGCGUUGGUGAGGAAGAAGCGUAUCUGUGGGGAAAUCAAAGCUUUGCCAAACAACUUUACCAGAUGAAUUCUU